rnacentral:rRNA from 1 species
UACGUAGGGGGCAAGCGUUGUCCGGAAUCAUUGGGCGUAAAGCGCGCGUAGGCGGCCCGGUAAGUCCGUUGUGAAAGUCAAAGGCUCAACCUUUGAACGCCGAUGGAUACUGCCGGGCUAGAGUCCGGAAGAGGCGAGUGGAAUUCCUGGUGUAGCGGUGGAAUGCGCAGAUAUCAGGAGGAACACCAAUAGCGAAGGCAGCUCGCUGGGACGUAACUGACGCUGAGACGCGAAAGCGUGGGGAGCAAACAGG